GUUAAGAUCGGCCUUUGUCCUGAUCCUUAUUCUUAUUCUAACAGCAGUUAGAUGUACUUCUUUAGAGGGGGAAAUGAUAGAUGCAGGAGGCAGAUAAGGGGGAAGGUCCCCAGAGAACCUCCCAUGGGCCUGCACACUGGGAGAACAGGGUGGAGCCAGGGAAAGUUUGUGCCGUUUGCAGUGGGGAGGAGCCUGGCCUCUCCUUUCCUGUGUAGUGGCCUGGGAUUCAAUCUGUGAGUCCUGUUAGCAGGACUGCGUCUUGCUUUGCUGAGUUUUUUUUUUUUUUCCUUUUUUGCCCAAUAAUAUCCUGCUCUACUCACCCUUCAGUGUGUCGUCUGUGUGCCUAAAUUUUCCUGGUCUUGUGACAAGAACCAGAGUUUAGGGGAACUAAGGAGCAAUGCUCUGCAACAGCUUUUAAAAGUCCUACCAUAUAAUCU
rnacentral:lncRNA from 1 species